GACGAACGCUGGCGGCGCGCCUAACACAUGCAAGUCGAACGAGAGAGAGGGAGCUUGCUUCCUCGAUCGAGUGGCGAACGGGUGAGUAACGCGUGAGGAACCUGCCUCAAAGAGGGGGACAACAGUUGGAAACGACUGCUAAUACCGCAUAAGCCCACGACCCGGCAUCGGGAAGAGGGAAAAGGAGCAAUCCGCUUUGAGAUGGCCUCGCGUCCGAUUAGCUAGUUGGUGAGGUAACGGCCCACCAAGGCGACGAUCGGUAGCCGGACUGAGAGGUUGAACGGCCACAUUGGGACUGAGACACGGCCCAGACUCCUACGGGAGGCAGCAGUGGGGAAUAUUGCACAAUGGGGGAAACCCUGAUGCAGCGACGCCGCGUGGAGGAAGAAGGUCUUCGGAUUGUAACUCCUGUUGUUGAGGAAGAUAAUGACGGUACUCAACAAGGAAGUGACGGCUAACUACGUGCCAGCAGCCGCGGUAAAACGUAGGUCACAAGCGUUGUCCGGAAUUACUGGGUGUAAAGGGAGCGCAGGCGGGCGAUCAAGUUGGAAGUGAAAUCCAUGGGCUCAACCCAUGAACUGCUUUCAAAACUGGUCGUCUUGAGUAGUGCAGAGGUAGGCGGAAUUCCCGGUGUAGCGGUGGAAUGCGUAGAUAUCGGGAGGAACACCAGUGGCGAAGGCGGCCUACUGGGCACCAAUUGACGCUGAGGCUCGAAAGUGUGGGUAGCAAACAGGAUUAGAUACCCUGGUAGUCCACACCGUAAACGAUGAUUACUAGGUGUUGGGAGAUUGACCCUCUCAGUGCCGCAGUUAACACAAUAAGUAAUCCACCU
rnacentral:rRNA from 1 species